CAGAACACGAGAUAACAACGAUAAAGUAUAAAAAUCGUAAAAAGAGAGCAAAGAGAAGUCUUAUUCCGAAUUUGCGUAUGAGCAUUUACAACAAGCUAUAAGCCUGGGCUCGAGAGCUGUCGGCGAGAUUCCUAGUUCUAGCAACCCUAAGACGGCUAAACCUAAUUGAGUCGCAGCUUGAAAUAACAAAAACGGAAAUAUGCCUAAAUCGCUCUAAGUGGUAAGUUUGCUCCGAAAAAAGUCCUCUCCAUGCUUCUCGCCUAGGACUCCUUAUAUACUGGCUCCUAGGUUGGUUUGCGCUUUUCCUCUUCUGCCCUUAAGCCGUCAUAGCAUAAAAAGUGGAGAUAUUCCAUUUUUUCCGAUCUUCGUAAUUAUCUUCAAAAUUCCAUAUUUAUCCGCGG
rnacentral:lncRNA from 1 species